UCCCCCACCAGCCUGGCUAGCCCCUCUGCAUGCCUGAUGCCAUCUCCUGAUUUAGACCCUGCAAUGGUACUCUGGGCUCUGGGGGACUAGAGCAGAGUUGGAGCAUGGUUAUUACACAGCAGCAUAGUCAGUAAAGACUUCCACUGACCCAUUCUCUCAGCCUCACAUCUGAGACCCUAGCCAGAGACAUGGACCCUGUCCCCGAGAUUCCCUUUAUGGAAGAUGAGGGGCUUACAAUGAGGAGGACAGAACCUGCUCGAGAUCCGGAUGAAGACAUCUACACCAAGUUCUUCAUGAACCACUGCUGUUAUGACGCCAUUCCAACCAGCUCCAAACUGCUCAUUUUUGAUACAACACUGCAGGUGAAAAAGGCGUUCUUCGCCUUAGUUGCUAACGGAGUCCGAGCUGCACCUUUAUGGGACAACAAGCAGCAGUGUUUUGUAGGAAUGCUUACUAUAACAGACUUUAUUAACAUUCUCCACCGAUAUUACAAAUCACCCAUGGUUCAGAUCUAUGAGUUGGAAGAACACAAGAUUGAAACCUGGAGAGAGGUCUACCUUCAAUAUUCCAUCACCUCUCUGAUCAGCAUCACCCCUGACUCCAGCCUCUUUGAUGCCAUUUACUCCCUACUGAAGAACAAGAUUCAUAGGCUGCCUGUCAUAGAUCCAGAAUCAGGGAAUGUUCUGCACAUAUUGACCCACAAACGCAUCCUGAAAUUCCUUCACAUCUUUGGUUCCAUGAUCCCAAAGCCACGAUUCUUACAGAAGAGAAUUGAGGAGGUUGAAAUUGGAACAUUCAAGAAGAUCGCCACAGUCCAAGAGACAGCCAUGGUUUAUGAUGCAUUAUCAAUAUUUGUUGAGCGACGAGUAUCAGCCCUGCCCGUUGUAAAUGAACAGGGGAAGGUGGUGGCGCUCUACUCCAGGUUUGAUGUCAUUGUAAGUGUGGAGCCAGACCUUUUUUCCAAAACCUGGCUGCACAGAAAAAUUACAAUAACCUCAACAUGACAAUGCGAGAAGCAAUCGAGGGCCGCUCGUGCUGCAUUGAAGGAGUGCUGAAAUGUUACCCACAUGAGACCCUGGAGACUAUCAUCAAUCGCAUAGCUGAAGCAGAGGUUCACCGUCUAGUUUUAGUGGAUGAAGAGGACACAGUUAAGGGAAUCAUCUCACUGUCUGACCUGCUGCAGGCAUUGGUCCUGACUCCAGCAGGUAUUGAUGCUCUUUUCUCUUAACACUUGUGGAGAAGUGAUCUCUCCACCACCUUCCCACAGCCUUCUUGUCCCAGAGAUUUCAUCCAAAGCAGACUAUGACCAUUAAGGACAAUAUGCAAUGAAGAUUAUGGAUGAAGAUAAAAAUUGUAUAUAAGUAAUGAAGCCUAGAUUAGGAGUUUUUAUAUAUUUAUUUUUGUGUAUAUUUGUAUAGAUUUAAUUAUGAAGAAAAAUACUUUUGUUGCAUCAGCAUUCAUAUUAUCGCUGUCUAAAGAAAAUCUCAACGAAAAUGGCAACUUUACAGGAGAGGGCAAAAACUUUUCUUUACUUUUAAUGAAAGUUAAUUUAAAGAGAUUUUUUUCCAAGCAAUUUUGGAGCAUUUUUAUUGGUCCAUUCAUCAUGAAAUUUUCACAUAAUGUAAAGGGCAUAAUGUAAAGAUCUCAAAUGAUGUAAAACAAUAAAUAAAAAUCACAAGAAAUAGCGAUACUUGUUUUUGUUUGUUUUUGGACAGCUUCAAUAUGCAAAUUAUGGCCACCCCGCCAUCUACUUGCAUCAUUUUGGUGUGCAGUAUUAGAUUCCUAGUCUAAAAAAUUAAGCCUUAUUCAUGAUUCACUUUUUUCAUGGACAUUCGGCUGCAGAACACUGUCAGGUAACUCGUGCACUGAGGGUCACAAGCAGUCAUCAUGUUCGUGACAUCAAACGUUUACAUGUAAUUCAGCCACUCACUGACUGGCCAGGACUUAAAGGGUCUAUAUUGUGAAUAUUGGUCUUUUCAUGUAACUUGUAAGGAGUUAACACUGAGAAAAUCAGUUCAUGUCAUUCUUUGGGGAAAAAAGUCAUGUAUGUAUGUAAUGUAUGCAAGAUGUAUGUAUGUAUAUGUUUACCAUCCAUUGCAGUGCUGGCUGAAGUCUAGCUGCUCAUGCACCACAUGCGGAUGAGAGCAUCUGUGAGUGUAGCUCUCUAACUCAAAUGCAACUUUUUCAAUGCCUUCAGCAGACUGGCCUGGACAGUGCUCACAAGAGACCCUAAGAAAAAACGCAGUUCCUCCUGAGAGCUUCCACUGUAACAAGUCCACAAGCUGCAUGCAAAAUAACAAGAAAGACAGCAAAGGGGCUACAAUCAUGGAGGCGCCAGAACCAUUGAAAGUGUAUGUGUCAUUCAUGAUAUAUACUCUCAUUGGACAGAACAUGCACCGCUGUUGCUCUCACUGGAUGUCUGUGAUGGAAACUGGAUGUUCAGGUUUAUGUGAACCCUGCUGCAGUUCCCCUCAAGAGCCUGCACUAUUACAAGAAUACACCAGCUCUAUGAACGAGAGUUCAGCCUAAGAACGAGAGGAUUACAAUUAGGGAUGCACUGGUCAUGAUUUUUUAUAGAAAAUUCCAAUUUCUUUACAGGCAAACUGCCAUAUGGCUGAUUGCUUAUUAGCUUUUUUUUAGCACAAAGCUCACACUGUUAAAAUAAACUCAUAAAAACACUGGCACAUUUUCAGUACUUUCUUCCAGCAAAGUCGCAAUAAAAAAACAAUAAUGGACCAAAAAGACACACACAUAUUUGGAUUGUUACUUUAUCUCAUACUGGUCUAUAAAUCAAUGCUAAAACAAUUUAGUGGUUAACUUAAGGCUAGUUUUGUUGAAUGUGAUAGGCUGAUUUAAACUAGGCACUGUUAUAGGAUCAGUCAUUCCCAUUUAUUCUGCUUUCAGCAGUUUUAGAAAACAGAUUUUUUUGGAAGAAUGAUGAAGAAUGGAUGGAGGAUGAAGGUUUACUGUAAAUCUGCUGUAAGGGAUAAUUUUGUGAUGUCAGACUAACAUCUUACAAUGUCGGACUCAAAAAAACACUUUCCCAGAGUUGAACUGUCCAACUUUUAAAAUGGAACUGAAGUUUCACAUUCUAACACAUCUCUACCUAAACCUGCUAUGAUUUUUAUGAUUAAGUUGCCUUUUUGCUGUUGUCUUUUAUGUGUAAGAUUCAUAUUCAAACUAGUUGAUGAUACAUCCAGAAAUUCUGCUUUAGCCCAGCCCAGUCUAUGACAUGUAUCAAGUGAUUUGUAUAUUGCUUAUACAAAUAGUUUGUGCUAAAAUCUGCAUUUAAACUAUGUGUUUUUACUCACCCACAAUAAAACAGUCUGUACGAACAAAGUUCAGCAUAUCAGGUGCUCU